rnacentral:rRNA from 1 species
AACGAACGCUGGCGGCAUGCCUAACACAUGCAAGUCGAACGAGACCUUCGGGUCUAGUGGCGCACGGGUGCGUAACGCGUGGGGACCUGCCCUUAGAUUCGGAAUAACUCCCCGAAAGGGGUGCUAAUACCGGAUAAUGUCUUCGGACCAAAGAUUUAUCGCCUUUGGAUGGGCCCGCGUUGGAUUAGCUAGUUGGUAGGGUAAAAGCCUACCAAGGCGACGAUCCAUAGCUGGUCUGAGAGGAUGAUCAGCCACACUGGGACUGAGACACGGCCCAGACUCCUACGGGAGGCAGCAGUGGGGAAUAUUGGACAAUGGGCGAAAGCCUGAUCCAGCAAUGCCGCGUGAGUGAUGAAGGCCUUAGGGUUGUAAAGCUCUUUUACCCGGGAUGAUAAUGACAGUACCGGGAGAAUAAGCUCCGGCUAACUCCGUG